rnacentral:rRNA from 1 species
CCUACGGGAGGCUGCAGUGAGGAAUAUUGGUCAAUGGGCGAGAGCCUGAACCAGCCAAGUCGCGUGAAGGAUGAAGGACCUAUGGUUUGUAAACUUCUUUUAUAGGGGAAUAAAAGGCUCCACGUGUGGGAUUUUGUAUGUACCAGAUGAAUAAGGAUCGGCUAACUCCGUGCCAGCAGCCGCGGUAAUACGGAGGAUCCGAGCGUUAUCCGGAUUUAUUGGGUUUAAAGGGAGCGUAGGUGGAUUGUUAAGUCAGUAGUGAAAGUUUGGGGCUCAACCGUAAAAUUGCAGUUGAAACUGGCAGUCUUGAGUACGUGAGAGGUGUGCGGAAUUCGUGGUGUAGCGGUGAAAUGCUUAGAUAUCACGAAGAACUCCGAUUGCGAAGGCAGCUCACUGGCCUGCAACUGACGCUGAGGCUCGAAAGUGUGGGUAUCAAACAGGAUUAGAUACCCCGGUAGUC